AGUUCGAUUAUUUAGGGGUUGCUGAUAGGUUUUCGAUUCGACCAAGAGGAGGAGCAAGGGGACGAGAGGAGCAUGAUUCUGGUGGUUUGAUGGCUGUUCUGCAUCUACCUGGAAAGGGUACUUCUGUUGUCUUUCAGUUUUGGAUAAUAGGAUUUUGAAUAGAGACAAGCAGAGAGGAUAUUUAGUUUUUGGGGUCUUUAUUAUACGCAUCUGAGUUUAUGUCAUUUAUACUUAACAGAACAAGAGAGAAAGAAAGAGGGUGAGGGAGGUGGGGAUUUUGAAUAAGGAUCCCGAGACCCUGAAGGAGCAGAUUGAUAAGUUGAAUAAGCAAAAUUUUAUUCGGAAUCUUAUUGAGAGGAAGCACUAAUUGACACUGUUAGUUUUCUCGGUGCUACUAACAAGCUAAGUUUUCUAAUUUCAUUGAUUUUGCUUCCACGUUUCAUUAAAUUUUUUAUGUUUUGGAUUGCUGCUUUUUGGUUUCUUGGUAAGUUUUCAAUUGCUUUUUAGUUAGUUGGUUGAAUUGUAGUCAGGCAGAGCAUCAAAGAUUUAUAUCUUUGUUUCAUUCAAAUUAUUUACUCAUAUAGUUUAUGAACUUUAUUUUCCGUUGUUUUGUUGCUGAGAAAGUGGAUUUACGAUUAGAAGGAAAAAAAAAAAAACUGUUACUUUUGUCGUCUGUGAUUAAUUGAGAGCCUUGAUUUCAAAACCUAUUGGUUAACAUUACUCAUCUGCCCUUCUUGAUUGCUUUUUUAAGAAGAAUAUAUUCUGAUGUUUUGCAAUUUAAUUUGAGCUUGGCUUUUGAAUUAUUUACUCAUAUAGUUUAUGAACUUUAUUUUCCGUUGUUUUGUUGCUGAGAAAGUGGAUUUACGAUUAGAAGGAAACAAAAAAAAAAAAACUGUUACUUUUGUCGUCUGUGAUUAAUUGAGAGCCUUGAUUUCAAAACCUAUUGGUUAACAUUACUCAUCUGCCCUUCUUGAUUGCUUUUUUAAGAAGAAUAUGUUCUGACGUUUUGCAAUUUAAUUUGAGCUUGGCUUUUGA